rnacentral:lncRNA from 1 species
GCCCGGGUCCCCUCGGGCAGCCCCCGUUCCCCGGCUCCUGCCCGAGCUGGCCGGCUACAGCCCCCGCACAGUUUUUCUCCCUGGAAAGCUGAUGAGAGGGCCGGGCUGCUGGGGAAGAGCCCCCCGGUCCCGGGGAGCUGGGCUGCUGGGGCAGAGGGCAGCCAGGAACCGCGGGGAAGGGGACACCGGACUCUUCAGCUCUAAAAUUCACAGUAAUCCCAAGACAGAUGAUUCUUACAGUGCAUGGAAAGCAUCCCUCCACCCCUCCCUACAAAUGGAGCAUGUAGUCUGUGAGUGCAUGAGGAGAGCUUCAGGGACUGGCGAGCUCAGUACUCACAUCCUUGGGAGACGGAGUUCAGCAACGUAUGGUUUUGGCUGGAGAACAAAAGAAACAAAGACUCUUCCUUGGGAGAAGCUCUCAGCACACCACUGCAUCUGUUCAAAACUUCAAGGCAGGACAGAAGAGAUCAAACUACCUUAUUCACCUGGAAGAAUGAUCUGA